rnacentral:rRNA from 1 species
UCGGGAAUAUUGCGCAAUGGAGGAAACUCUGACGCAGUGACGCCGCGUGCAGGAAGAAGGUUUUCGGAUUGUAAACUGCUUUAGACAGGGAAGAAAAAAUGACAGUACCUGUAGAAUAAGCUCCGGCUAACUACGUGCCAGCAGCCGCGGUAAUACGUAGGGAGCGAGCGUUAUCCGGAUUUAUUGGGUGUAAAGGGUGCGUAGACGGGAAAUUAAGUUAGUUGUGAAAUCCCUCGGCUCAACUGAGGAACUGCAACUAAAACUGAUAUUCUUGAGUACUGGAGAGGAAGGUGGAAUUCCUAGUGUAGCGGUGAAAUGCGUAGAUAUUAGGAGGAACACCAGUGGCGAAGGCGACUUUCUGGACAGAAACUGACGUUGAGGCACGAAAGUGUGGGGAGCAAACAGGAUUAGAUACCC